UUUUUUUUUUUUUUUUUUUUUUUUUUUUUUUUUUUUCCAAGAAUAGCAGAUUUAUUUCAAGGCGGGCCG
rnacentral:ribozyme from 11 species